GGGCCCGUAGCUCAGUCUGGAUAGAGUGCCUGGCUUCGAAUGCCGUUUGCACCCCAAAAGUGAUGCAAGCAAGUUGCGGGAGCAACCAGGAGGCCGCGCGUUCGAAUCGCGUCGGGCCCG
rnacentral:tRNA from 1 species